AUUUUGAAAGUAUAGCAUAAAUAAUGAGAUUUCUAUGUAAUAAGUUUCCCCAGGGUAAUUAAAAAUUGGCCUUAGAGCUUAACUUUUAUAACUAUUUGUUGUCCCAUGAUACUUUUCUAUUUUAAUUUUUUGAGUAGGUAGUACCUUUCAUGUGUUCCAGAUACAUAAAAAGUUUAAAACUGUGUAUAGCAAGUCUCCACCCAGUUCUCCACCCCCCAUCUUCCCCCGCCCCCCACGAACUUUUAGAGUUUCUCUAUACACAUACAGGCAACCACUAAUUUUUAAUACCCCUGCCACAGAAACUAGCAUACUGGUUUGCAGUCUCCUGCACCUUGCGUUUACACUUUACAUCUUUUAUAGUUUUGACAGAGUUCUAAUAUCUUUUCAUUUUGUAUGAAGGAAAAAUGCCUUUUAUUUCAUUUUCUCAGGAAUAAAACCACCUAGCCAGCACAAUCCCUAGUGGAACAUUUACAGGCCCCUCCCAACAAAUCCAGAACUGCAGUGACACAGUGAUGAAUAAGAUGUGUUUCUGCCAUUUAGGCGUCCUGAGUCGAGUUAAAGAACAGAUAAUAGACUUGUUCAGUUUCACCGAGUGAUGUAAUAGGUCAAAGCACCCCGAAUUUUGCUUUCACACAUGAAUUAAUGCUAUGGAAGGAUUCGCCUACAUAGAUACAGUUGCAAGUCUUGAAUAAACUAGAAGAAAAGCACAUGAAUCUCAUUUAUUUUUUUUUUAAUGUUUUGAUUUUUGAGACAGAAACAGCAUGAGCGGGGGACGGGCAGAGAGAGAGGGAGACGGAAUCCGAGGCAGGCCCCAGGCUGCGAGCUGUCAGCACAGAGGCGGAGGCGGGGCUCAAACUCAGACUGUGAGAUCAUGACCUGAGCUGAAGUCGGACGCUCCACCGACUGAGCCACCCAGGCGCCCUGGCUCCCAUUUAUUUUAAGAAAUUCCAAGGAACAUGAAACGUGCCAACAGGAAGACAGCAAAAGUGCUGACCUUCCCCCAGAUUCUUCUUCAAUCAGAAACUGACCAUCACACCCCUAGCACACUGUGGGCCCUGGUGUGAGGACAGGCAUACUGGUGAAGGAGACAGACAGAAUCAGGCCGGACAAUAUCCGGGUGUCGCGGAAAUAAAACAGGAUGAUGUGAUAAGGAGUGUU